rnacentral:rRNA from 1 species
UAGGGAAUCUUCGGCAAUGGGCGAAAGCCUGACCGAGCAACGCCGCGUGAAUGAUGAAGGCCUUCGGGUUGUAAAAUUCUGUUAUAAGGGAAGAACGACUUUAGUAGGAAAUGGCUAGAGUGUGACGGUACCUUAUGAGAAAGCCACGGCUAACUACGUGCCAGCAGCCGCGGUAAUACGUAGGUGGCGAGCGUUAUCCGGAAUUAUUGGGCGUAAAGAGCGCGCAGGUGGUUGAUUAAGUCUGAUGUGAAAGCCCACGGCUUAACCGUGGAGGGUCAUUGGAAACUGGUCGACUUGAGUGCAGAAGAGGGAAGUGGAAUUCCAUGUGUAGCGGUGAAAUGCGUAGAGAUAUGGAGGAACACCAGUGGCGAAGGCGGCUUCCUGGUCUGUAACUGACACUGAGGCGCGAAAGCGUGGGGAGCAAAC